rnacentral:tRNA from 5 species
GGAGAGAUGCUGGAGCGGUUGAACAGGCACGCCUGGAAAGCGUGUGAUGGGGAAACCUGUCCGAGGGUUCGAAUCCCUCUCUCUCCGCCA